UUUUUCCCUCUUUCAGUGGCUAGAAGCCAAAACUCUCCAAUGAACGCCUCUCGCUGAAUGGAAAAAAAAAUCCGCCUUGUUUAAUUAAUGUUAGUCCUUUUCCCCAAAAACAAGACGAAAAAUAUUACCGUUAUUUUAGCUCUGGAGAAGCUUUAUGAGGGUCGUGGAAGACAUACGGAGCCCUACCCUCUUUUCUUCCUCCCCUCCUCCCUUCAUUAGCACCACACCUAGAGGCACACACAUAGGCACAAAAGGAAAAGGGAGAGCCGAAAAAACUCAGCAGUUAGCGGAGGAACCAGAUACGGUGCUGUAGGGCAGCAUGGGUGCACCUGUACCUGAGGAAUUCAAAUAGGAGAAGUAAGCUCUGCCGUAACCACUCUCUGAACCACACCUCAUUCAGCUCACUAAUCCACCCUGUACUGAAAUAUGUGUGUCCAGGGCAUGCACAGAACAGUUUUGUAGCAUCUGUAAUGUGGUGGAAUCCCGCAUUAAAUGUUAAAAUCUCACUCUAAUGUGGAUUAUAUAUAAUUCUCUCUAAAAGCAUAAAAAUAGUGAUAGCUAUAAACCAGACAGUAGAUCAACCAUUGUUUGUGAUGUCUGCUGUCCUGUUCCUACACUGUUUGGAAAAUAAUAGUUUGCUCCAUGGAAAAUACACAAAUCUCUGUUACACAGAUGUAAACAUAUCAACAUUCCCACUAAUGUUUGGAAGCAUCACGAAUGUGUUUGUGCUAAUUGUAAUCAUGAAAGCAUUUUGAUGAAUAAUAUGUUCUCAUUUAGAUGUUUUGAGGCAUUACUUUAUAGUUCACUACUAUGAUAUGAGUUCUGCAUUUCCUUUAAAAAUACUCAAAUACUACUUUUGCUGGUAGUCUUGCUUUGUUGCAGAUUUUUUGUGUGACUGAAAGUCUGUUUUUAAAAGGAUUAUAUUUCAUGUUUGGGAAAAACUCUGCUGUAAGUUUGAAAAAGAAGUUACACUUCUUUUCUGACCUUCGUUCCACUUACACCUUUCUGUGCACACAUCCCGUGUCUGUAAUCUAUUACUCUGAUCAAGUCUGUCUUUCCACAAUGAAGCUAGACAUGCAUUUAGAAAAUGUUCUAGCAAUGUAUUAACAUUGAAAUGUGGUUCCAAGUAGUAGGAACAUGGUGAUCACAAGCUGUACUUGGUGAAGGAAAUCACUGUGUUUAACAGGGUUGAGAUCCAGACUAUGUCUUAAUUUUACAGUCUCUGCUUAAGUGCUAGGAAUUUUCAGACUGAAUUAUUUAAUAGACUACCAGGUCUGAAGAUGAAGUCAGAAUUUGUAAGGGAGGAUGCAGUGUUCACAGAACAGCACUUUUAUUUAACACUUAAUUAUGAAGCUGUGCACAGAGAAGCUUUUGAGAUUGUUGCCAUUAGAAACUGAGCCCUUGUGGCUAGAGUUAUGGUCAGGCUGCCGUCUCCACCCCCACCCUCCUUCCCUGCCCUCCUCCUGCUCUGCUGACUGACCUUGCCACGCUUGGCUGAGCUGAACCUUGAGGUGCUGCAAUGUUUUACAUCGCUGGGCUGUAAGGUUUGAGGUGCGAGCAUGCAAGGGGUGGUGCCAUCUGCGGGGACAAGAGUCUUUUCUUUUGCUGAAAACCUGCCAGCUGUUAUUCAAUAUCACGGAGUAUCAUGUAACAAAUAUAAAAGCUACAUGUCAGGGAGAAUGUCUCUUUCCCUACUGAUCUAGGCUGGAGCACAGCAAAGUUUCCAUUUACUUCUAGCUAUUGUGAAAAGAAAGCUCCAUUGACCUAUUUUGACACUCAGCCAGGGAGGUGACUCCAUCAGUCAGAAGCUGACCAUUUUUGUUUCCAAAUGCACCCACCAGAAUUUUAACACUGUGCUUUGUUUGAACUGAAAAGCUGUCAUUUCCGUGGUUUUUGUCACCAUUGAUCUCAGCCUUAUGUAUUUUACAUGGUAUUUUGGAGAUACACUACUAGCCAUUAUUAUAGUAUUCUCUGUGUAAAAUUAUUUUGUGUGUAAGCCUGAAGAAAAUUUCUGGUGAGUUUUCGCAUUACGCAGUGGCACCGAGCAAUCUUUUGUGCAAAGAUAACACAGAUUUGCUCUUUUGUAACCUCUUCUUCCCAGGAAGACUCUGAUCCUUUGCCGGCACAAGACAUUUGAAGUUCUGCAGUUGAUUUUUGCAAGACCAAAGGAGCAGGCCUUGAGGUCUUUUUAUUCUACCUGUCACUGAGCAUCUCCACAGUUGGGAGCCAAGGGCAUGCAGGACGUGGUGGGAUCAGAUCCUGAAUUAAUUCUCUUGGGAGUAAUUGAUCCUCAGAAGGAUUUCAACAGGCACAGCUUCCAAAGGUGUUCUGAAAGUGCCUGUGAUACAUGCUGAAAAUUUUCCAUAAAGUCCUAAGUUGAUGUUGUUAGAGAUUGUUUCUAUGAGAAGGAUGCACCGAAAGCCUGCCAUAAAUAAUUAACAGUGUCACUGACCCAGGUUUUGGAUGGCUUAAUUUAUACUGAGUGCAUUUCUACCCAGGGGUGGCAUCAUUGAAAUAAAUGGGGCUUUCUCAUCUGUAAGGAGGCACAGAACUCUGAGUAAAACUAUCAGAAACAG